CGCAAUGGGCGAAAGCCUGACGGAGCAAUACCGCGUGAGGGACGAAGGUCUGUGGAUUGUAAACCUCUUUUGUUGGGGAAGAUAAUGACGGUACCCAACGAAUAAGCAUCGGCUAACUCCGUGCCAGCAGCCGCGGUAAGACGGAGGAUGCAAGCGUUAUCCGGAAUUAUUGGGCGUAAAGCGUACGUAGGCUGUUAGAUAAGUCUGUUGUCAAAGCGCGAGGCUUAACCUUGUAAAGGCAAUGGAAACUGUUUGACUAGAGAGAGAAAGGGGCAGGAGGAAUUCCAGGUGUAGCGGUGAAAUGCGUAGAUAUCUGGAAUAAAUACCACUC
rnacentral:rRNA from 1 species